rnacentral:rRNA from 1 species
UACGUAGGGUGCGAGCGUUGUCCGGAAUUAUUGGGCGUAAAGGGCUCGUAGGCGGUUUGUCGCGUCGGGAGUGAAAACUCAGGGCUUAACCCUGAGCCUGCUUCCGAUACGGGCAGACUAGAGGUAUGCAGGGGAGAACGGAAUUCCUGGUGUAGCGGUGAAAUGCGCAGAUAUCAGGAGGAACACCAAAGGCGAAGGCAGUGUCCUGGGGAGUACCUGACGCUCAGGUGCGAAAGCCAGGGGAGCGAACGGG